AUUGAACGCUGGCGGCAGGCUUAACACAUGCAAGUCAAGCGGAGAGAAGUAGCUUGCUACUGAUCUUAGCGGCGGACGGGUGAGUAAUGCUUAGGAAUCUGCCUAUUAGUGGGGGACAACAUUUCGAAAGGAAUGCUAAUACCGCAUACGUCCUACGGGAGAAAGCAGGGGAUCUUCGGACCUUGCGCUAAUAGAUGAGCCUAAGUCGGAUUAGCUAGUUGGUGGGGUAAAGGACUACCAAGGCGACGAUCUGUAGCGGGUCUGAGAGGAUGGUCCGCCACAAUGGGACUGAGACACGGCCCAGACUCCUACGGGAGGCAGCAGUGGGGAAUAUUGGACAAUGGGCGGAAGCCUGAUCCAGCCAUGCCGCGUGUGUGAAGAAGGCCUUAUGGUUGUAAAGCACUUUAAGCGAGGAGGAGGCUACUUUAGUUAAUACCUAGAGAUAGUGGACGUUACUCGCAGAAUAAGCACCGGCUAACUCUGUGCCAGCAGCCGCUGUAACAC
rnacentral:rRNA from 1 species